rnacentral:rRNA from 1 species
CCUACGGGUUGCAGCAGUGGGGAAUAUUGCACAAUGGGCGCAAGCCUGAUGCAGCCAUGCCGCGUGUAUGAAGAAGGCCCUAGGGUUGUAAAGUACUUUCAGUCGGGAGGAAGGCGUUGAUGCUAAUAUCAUCAACGAUUGACGUUACCGACAGAAGAAGCACAGGCUAACUCCGUGCCAGCAGCCGCGGUAAUACGGAGGGUGCAAGCGUUAAUCGGAAUUACUGGGCGUAAAGCGCACGCAGGCGGUUGAUUAAGUUAGAUGUGAAAUCCCCGGGCUUAACCUGGGAAUGGCAUCUAGGACUGGUCAGCUAGAGUCUUGUAGAGGGGGGUGGAAUUCCAUGUGUAGCGGUGAAAUGCGUAGAGAUGUGGAGGAAUACCGGUGGCGAAGGCGGCCCCCUGGACAAAGUCUGACGCUCAGGUGCGAAAGCGUGGGGAGCAAACAGGAUUAGAUACCCGUGUAGUC